rnacentral:rRNA from 1 species
ACAUGCCUAUAACAUAGCAUUAAUGCAUCAGAUCCCAUUAGAACUUUGCAGUUAAGCAUGCUCAUGCUAGAGUAGUACUGGGAUGGAUGACCACCUGAGAAGUCCUAGUGUUUUACAUGCC